ACCCAGCUAACGAGUCCCAAAUAAGAUGAAACGCGCGUCCUGGAU
rnacentral:hammerhead_ribozyme from 1 species